AUUGAACGCUGGCGGCAGGCUUAACACAUGCAAGUCGAACGAGUGGCGGACGGGUGAGUAAUGUCUGGGAAACUGCCCGUUGGAGGGGGAUAACUCCUGGAAACGGUAGCUAAUACCGCAUACCACAGGAUGUGCCCAGAUGUGUUUAGCUAGUAGGUGGGGUAACGGCUCGCCUAGGCGACGAUCCCUAGCUGGUCUGAGAGGAUGACCAGCCACACUGGGACUGAGACACGGUCCAGACUCCUACGAGAGGCAGCAGUGGGGAAUAUUGCACAAUGGGCGCAAGCCUGAUGCAGCCAUGCCGCGUGUAUGAAGAAGUCCUUCGGGUUGUAAAGUACGUUCAGCGAGGAGGCGUUACUCGCAGAAGAAGCACCGGCUAACUCCGUGCCAGCCGCCGCGGUAAUAC
rnacentral:rRNA from 1 species